AACGAACGCUGGCGGCAUGCCUAACACAUGCAAGUCGAACGAGACCUUCGGGUCUAGUGGCGCACGGGUGCGUAACGCGUGGGAAUCUGCCCUUGGGUUCGGAAUAACAGUUAGAAAUGACUGCUAAUACCGGAUGAUGUCUUCGGACCAAAGAUUUAUCGCCCAGGGAUGAGCCCGCGUAGGAUUAGCUAGUUGGUGGGGUAAAGGCCUACCAAGGCGACGAUCCUUAGCUGGUCUGAGAGGAUGAUCAGCCACACUGGGACUGAGACACGGCCCAGACUCCUACGGGAGGCAGCAGUGGGAAUAUUGGACAAUGGGCGAAAGCCUGAUCCAGCAAUGCCGCGUGAGUGAUGAAGGCCUUAGGGUUGUAAAGCUCUUUUACCCGGGAUGAUAAUGACAGUACCGGGAGAAUAAGCCCCCGGCUAACUCCGUGCCAGCAGCCGCGGUAAU
rnacentral:rRNA from 1 species